rnacentral:rRNA from 1 species
UCAGCUCGUGUCGUGAGAUGUUGGGUUAAGUCCCGCAACGAGCGCAACCCUCGCCUCUAGUUGCCAGCAUUCGGUUGGGCACUCUAGAGGGACUGCCGGCGACAAGUCGGAGGAAGGUGGGGAUGACGUCAAAUCAUCAUGCCCCUUAUGACCUGGGCUACACACGUGCUACAAUGGGCGGUACAAAGGGCUGCGAACCCGCGAGGUGGAGCUAAUCCCAUAAAACCGAUCGUAGUCCGGAUCGCAGUCUGCAACUCGACUGCGUGAAGUCGGAAUCGCUAGUAAUCGUGAAUCAGAAUGUCACGGUGAAUACGUUCCCGGGCCUU